GACGAACCGUGCGAACGUUGUUCGGAUUCACUGGGCUUAAAGGGCGCGUAGGCGGGCUUGCCAGUCAGGGGUGAAAUCCUCCGGCUCAACCGGAGCAGGGCCUUUGAUACUGCAAGUCUUGAGGGAGGUAGGGGCAUGUGGAACUUCCGGUGGAGCGGUGAAAUGCGUAGAUAUCGUCAGGAACGCCGAUGGUGAAGACAGGUGACUGGGCCGGAACUGACACUGAGGCACGAAAGCGUGGGGAGCGAACGGGG
rnacentral:rRNA from 1 species